rnacentral:lncRNA from 1 species
AUCAAUUUAGGAGAAAAUCCAAUAUGACAUUAUUAGGGCACCAAAAUUGGGGCUUUUGUCAUGGGUGGGUUUAAAUGUAAAUGGACCCUAUACAAACCUAAUUCGGGGUAUGACGAACGCGUUGGUGCGCUCGAUUCGACAAUCCGACGAGCGUACGCGAAGUUAUUAACGAAAUAGCGUUUUUCGUACAGAUGGUCGCAGCAUACGGAAUAGACGUCUAAAAAUCGUGAGAUUUGAUCUGGGG